UCAAAAUGGGCACUCAAUUUAGUAAUGCAUGUGGCCCGACACAACAGAGUCAGUUUGGGUGUUUGAGCCAUAAGUUGAGCUAUGUAUCUCCAAUUUGGACACAAGAGGAUGGGUUGGAAAGAUAAGAAGUAAAUCUAUAACUUUUAGGAAGAACAUAAAGCGUUAUUUUGCCAUUUGAGCGGUCAAAAUGGACAAUAAUUUCGGAUAUACAGGGAAGACACCAUAACAGAACCAGUUUUGGUAUUUCACUCAUAAGUUGAGCUACAAGUAUUGAAAUUGGACAUAAGAAUAUGUUUUGGAAAGCUGAGAAAUAGAGCUACAACUUUCA
rnacentral:lncRNA from 1 species